UGUCAUCUAUUAGAUUAAUAAAAGGUUCAAACAGAGUUUUACACACAAAGUCAGCAAAGGUAUACAACCUUUCUGAAAUCAUAAGCCGGCGUAGAAACAAGAUACUACCCAGAAACAAGGACUGAAGCAAACACUUACCCCCAAGAAACUAACUUAAACUAAGGAGAACAAGAUAACUAAGCGCCAAAGGAGAAUAACCAUACAAUCAAGGAAGGCGAAGCAACCAGCGUUAGAAGCAGGAUUGAUCGAGAAAGCGUAGCAGGCCUAUAUUAUUGGGGUUGAAGGAGAAACCACGAACAAACACCACACUUACCAUUGCUUCACCUCAAAGAAGCCAAAGAAACAUCAAAUUCCAACCCGAGCAGCCAAUGAAGAUGCAUGUUAGGCAAUCAACUACUCCAAGACCUCACGCAAUUGAGCAAAAGCUCCACAGCCCCUUACCAAGUAAUCCGGAAGAACCCGUCGGUUGCAGACCAAGGGACAGCACAACUUCAUAACACUUGCACUUCACCCACUGAAAUCUAAAUGAACGACCGAGUGAAAACGGCGAAACGAAAGAUAACCACAAGAAAGUCAUCAUACGCUCCAAGGAUGAUAGCUUCUAUCCGGAGACCACAGAGAAGAACCUAACCGCAGACCCGAGAGAAGACACCAUCCACACUUGCCGCAGACCACACAAACUCCCAAGCGCUUAAGAAAUCUGAUUCUCAGGUUCACUGAUGCUCAUGCUCUGAGGUGUUUUUCUUCACAAACUUACUUUUUUUUUUGUCAUCUAUUAGAUUAAUAAAAGGUUCAAACAGAGUUUUACGCACAAAGUCAGCAAAGGUAUACAACCUUUCUGAAAUCAUAAGCCGGCGUAGAAACAAGAUACUACCCAGAAACAAGGACUGAAGCAAACACUUACCCCCAAGAAACUAACUUAAACUAAGGAGAACAAGAUAACUAAGCGCCAAAGGAGAAUAACCAUACAAUCAAGGAAGGCGAAGCAACCAGCGUUAGAAGCAGGAUUGAUCGAGAAAGCGUAGCAGGCCUAUAUUAUUGGGGUUGAAGGAGAAACCACGAACAAACACCACACUUACCAUUGCUUCACCUCAAAGAAGCCAAAGAAACAUCAAAUUCCAACCCGAGCAGCCAAUGAAGAUGCAUGUUUGGCAAUCGACUACUCCAAGACCUCACGCAAUUGAGCAUAAGCUCCACAGCCCCUUACCAAGUAAUCCG
rnacentral:lncRNA from 1 species